UCAGGUAAGCAGGAAGGGCCUCUGAAACACAGAAAACAGAAGUCCCUCAGAUUUGACAGUGUUUGAAAUGCCAGAUAGGAUCAAGGAGACAGGUAUGUUAUAAUACAGGUUCAUAUGACCUGUAAAACUGGUAAAGUCCUUCAGCACUGGAGAAAAUCUCGCUCGAUCAAAUCAUAUGUUUCCAGCUUCAUUCUAAUUGAGCUUAAAUCUGUACCUUUGCCCCUGUUCAGACUAGGACCAAGACCUCAAAGCCAUAGUCUGCAGCAAAGCAUCCAUUUCAGCUCACACCUAAUUCACUGCUUAAUUAGGGCAGCACUGGGAAAACUCUGCUUUUUGGUUUCCCUUUUUCUAUGGUGCCUGAUGACACUUGUGGCAGACCACGGUUCAGCACAAAGCAUUCAGAGGGGCUGAGCCCUCCUGGUGAUGCGAGGCAGGUUCAAGGUGAAGGUCUCCUUUGCUGGGGCUUUUCUUCUGUCUUCUGAGGUAAGUGACCUUGAUGCCAACACAAAGCUCUGCCCCAGGUUGCACCACUCACACCGCAGCCAUUUCCUUAGCUGAUGCUGGUGACUAGCGUCUGGCUGUUUAAUUUGGAAGAGCAAUAUGAAGGUCACUGAGGAAGAUAAUGCAGUCCUGUUGAUUGAACAUAUGGAUAAGGGCAUCACAAAAAACUUAAUCUACUUUGUUGGGGAUGCAAUAAAUCAGGUUUUUGUGUGCAGUUGGCAAGCACUACUUCUGAGUGUUACUCCAUCAGAUAAUCCAGACAGCAGAGUAAUUAUAUAUCCCUCUGGUCCCCUAAUAUGGCUUUAACCUAAGGAUUAGGUCAUUUUCAUAUUUGUAGAGUUUUCUAAAAUAAUGUUAAAUAUAACUCUUAUUUAUUUCCUACCUGUUUCCCGGUUUUUGUUCAUGAAAUACUUAUUCCUGUAACCAAGCAGAGGGUCCUGGUUUAACACCAAAUUAACUCUAGAAAAUUCACUCCAUCUCAGCUGAAAUCAGGACACAGAGGUAGUUUAAGGGGAAGAUUUGUGAUAUUCGAAAUGUUCAUGAAUGCCAUUGAAGAGGACACUGGUGAGGUCUCCUCCAGAAUAGCAUGCCCAGGUCUGGCCAUCUCCUGCUCCCAAGAGAUUAACUCCAGCAGAAACAAAUGCAAAGGAUGUAUGGAAUAUGGACAACCUAUCUGACAAGAAGGAAUUAGAUGCGUGAGCAAUUACUUGGCAACGUGAAAAGCUAGAUGAGUUUUCCAAGACUGGCUGACCAUGAGGUCAGCAAUAGUGUGAGCACUGGUGCAAUAUGGAGGAAGAAAUUUGACCGCCUUGUCAAGAUGCAGGAUCUGCCUGUGCCACUGGCUGGAGGGAGGAUGAAAAGUCUACCUCUGGCGUUACAGUAAUGACACUACCUGGUUUCCAGAAAAAGUAGGGCAUUGCACUGAAUUCAACCUCUCAUUCUUGAUAUGCCAUGUUCUUCCCACGCAAAGAAACUAAAGCACAGAGCCUGGCUGCACAACUGCUUGCUACAGAGAACAACAACUAUUCAUGAUGUAAGAAUGGGACCAUGAGUGGCCAGUCUAGAAGGGGAUUGAAGCAGUGCUACUGCCACAGGCUCAGGGUCCUGGUCCACUCCCACCCCAUAUGUAGGCACUGAUAUGGAGUUACCAGGGCAGGAGCAGUCAGUCUGCAGGAUACCUGGCUCUGCCAUACUCUCUCAGGCACAUGUCAGUUUCAAAUGGCUUUGGCCACCUCACCAGGCACUGGGAGAAACAGGUAUUACUAUCCCUUUGCAAGGUAAAGAAACCAACAGACAGAAGUUCAAAGAGUCAGAUAUUCUCAUGUGAAGUCACCAUUCCAUUGCUGUAUUUUAUUAUGGUCUAUUAGUUUUGUAUUGAAUUCUUGUUCUGAAUGAAAAGUCUUUUCUGGAAAUGAAGUAAAUAAACCAAGGCCAAGAUGG